rnacentral:lncRNA from 1 species
CCCCAUUGGUUAAACUUCUGGAUGAGGGAGAAGAUGAGGUGCAUAGGGAAGCUUCAAUUGCUCUCACAAAGUUUGCCUGCACAGAAAACUAUCUCCACCUUGAUCAUUCCAAGGCAAUCAUACAAGCUGGAGGGGAAAUGCACCUAAUCCAGCUUGUCUAUUUUGGCGAGCAAAUAGUUCAACUGUCAGCAUUAUAUCUCCUAUGCUACAUAGCUAUGCAUGUCCCAGACAGCGAGGAGCUCGCACAGGCUAAGGUGCUUACAUUGCUAGAAUGGGCAUCCAAACAAUCGUUUGUGGCUCAAGAUGAAACACUUGAAGCAUUGCUAGAAGACGCCAAAAGCAAAUUGGAGCUUUAUCAAUCCAGAGGUUCAAGGGGAUUCCAUUGAUUUGUAGCAACACAUAUGGUCUUUUGUUAUGUUCACUGCAUAUAAUUUUCUUGUUUAUUGCUUUCAGCUUUGUCAUUCCAAUUGAAUGUACAUACAAUUAGUUUUCUUCUUUCCAUAUAAUAUAUUUCAAAGCAUUCGAGUCCUUUGCUUGGCUGCCGCUUCACGCUAUGAUUUUUAUGUUCAUUUUUGGGAUUUUGGACCCUCGUAUGAAUUCUCUUUCUUAAGUUUGCUGGAGGUGGAUUGAAGUUUGGACACUUGAGCAGGUCCCCCCCACCCCCUCCCUCAAAAUAAAAAUCUUGUUUCUCAGUAAUAGUAGGACCUGUUCUGCAAAAUGAGAUGGGAUGUUUUUGGCAGAUAAUACAGUUUCCAGAAAUAGAAAUAGCAUCCUGUUGGAAUUAUUGGGCAGUUGGAGAUAAUUUAGCUUAGUUGGAACGGCCAGAGAAAGAGAUGAGAUUCGAAAAACAUGUCCGGAAAAGAGAAGAUUUGGUUAGCCGACACAGAAGAAAGAUUCAACAUUGAACAAUUUCAAACAAACUACAGUAAAUCAUAUGAUCUCCUAACCAUUUCCUUCAUGGGGGCAAAUCAAAUCCUUAAGAGUUUAUGGGCAUCAGGAUUUGCUUGUGUCAGUUGAGGAUAUAUUGUACCCAUCUGGUAAAAUGGGAACCACUAUUCUCUGGAAUUUUCACAAUUUUAAGGUGGAUGAAAAUGAACUUGUAUUCUGUUUGAUAGUCUCAAAUUCUGGGAUGUCUUAGUAGACUCUUGUAAUGAACUUCUAUUUGGUGAUCUUUUAUGUAUGAUAUUUUUCUCAAAAUAUCAAAAAGAAAAACAAAAAAAAGAUGGAAAAUGAACUGAUGCCAACCAUGACAUGAUCCGAAAAUGCAAUCGUAAGAUUCCAGAGGCCAACCAAUUGCAACUUGAAACUGGGAUUUAUUAUAUGCACACGAAAUCUGAAAGACGUAAAAAUUUGAGAGGUCCUUUAAGAUUUGCCAACCUUUAAGAUGUGUUGGCAGUAUUUUGAAAGAAUUCAAAUUUUGAGCUUGUUCAAAUCUGCGUGUGGUAAGACGGUUGAACCCAUAGUGGGGUUUAAUUGUGUUUGAAAUGAUAGUUUUUUCCAAAUUGCUCUUAGGCCAUUUGAAUUGGAUUGGAUUCGCUUCAUUAAUUCUUUCACUUUUUUUUGUGAUUUCUACUUUUUCAAUCUUUACCAAUUUUCAUUUUAAGAAUACUUGUUUUUUACUAUUUUUUCUAUUUUUAAUCAAAAAAUAACACCUCUAAUAAUAGUUUAUUUUAAUAAAACUAUAUUUGAUUGGAAUAACUUAAUAAGAAAGUUAAACUCCUUAGGAAAUAUGAAAAGUUAACUUGUUUGGUUCGCAUGAUUCUACAAUUUGCGGAGAAAUUGGUUUAUGUUACUUCUCCUUUAUAAAUUUCCCUCCCCAAUCCAAAUAAUUUCGAAAUUAUUUAAAUUACUUUUCUCACUUUCUAUUUUAUUUUUUUUUUCAUAAUUAAAUAUUUAGGUAAAAAUUAAUAGAAAAUUAAAGGGUAUAGUUGUUGAUAGAUAAUAAUAUGUGAAAAUUUUUAUAAUAUAAUCUUAUUUAAGUUAUAUAUUUAUUUAAAUAAAUAAAAAAACAAUUAAAUUAACCAUAAAUAUUUUUUAUAUUUUAUAACAUUUUAAUUAUUAUCAUAAAAAAAUUAUAUAUUAAUUAUUAUGUGAGUUGAAUAUUUACUUUUCAAAAUUUAUAUAUUUGGCCAAUUUAUAAUUUUUUUAAAUUAAAUAUUAUACAUAUAUGUAGAGCGUGGAUAUUUAUAUUAUUCUUAUAAUCACACUGCAUUAAUUUUUUGAGAAUUUGACAUAUCAAUUAAAUAUAUUAAAAUAAUAAUUUCUAAAAGAUAAUUUAUCUUAAAGUGCACUUCUGAAAAUUAACUUUAAUGUAAAUAGAUCAUUUUGAAUCAAUUGGUAACUAAAUGAAAUUGGACAAAAUGUUAAAUAGUUGAAUUUUUACGGUGAUAAGGCAUGCUAUUAUUAUUUUUUAAAAAACAUAAGCAACAUUUUUGUGUUUUAGUAGGAGUUUGAAAAUAUAAAAAUGUGAAGGCAAAUUUAUUAGAUAAAUAAUAUAUUUUAAUUUAUUAAAUCAAAUCAGACUAGAUUUUAGUAUUUUUGUAUAAGUGAUAAAAAAAAAAACAUUAAUAAUUUACUUGAUACUAGAUUUUAAUGUAUCAAUUUGAUAAAUACAAAAUAUGUUCUUAACUUAAUGAGAGAGAAAAAUAAAAUUUUAAUAACAAAUACAAAAUCAUGGGUUAAAAAGUUUUAUUAUUGAAUACCAUUAUAGAAUACAUUACUAAAGCUUAAUAAUUAAACUUUAAUAUUAUAAAUCAAUUUUUAAUUUAAUAAUAUCCAUAAAUCUCUUAGAUAUAUUAUCCUUUUUUUUUUCCAAUAUUUUUAAGCCAUUGGCAGAUACAAAUUAAAUGAUUUUAGAUUAUUUAAUUUUAAUUCAUUUCAUUCCCUUUCUUUGAUGGACAUAUGAUCAUAGGUGGGGGCUAUGGACUUGGCUGAGCCCAUCUCAAAAUGGGGCUUUUGGGCUACAAAAGCUUAUUCCAUGUGUGUUACAAGGACAUUUCCCUCAUUUAUAAACACAUGUNNNNNNNNNNNNNNNNNNNNNNNNNNNNNNNNNNNNNNNNNNNNNNNUUAAUUUUUUAAUAAUAAUACCUAAUUGCAUUUAAUUAAAUUUUAAGACUUUUCCUCCUUUUAGCCUCCUAUUAUCAAAUAAUCCAAUUCAUCCAUCUCCUGUAACCAAGCUAUUUCACUCUCUUUUCUGGGUUUGUCGCUUUUCUCUACCUCUUUUUUCUUGACCCGAUCUUUGUCAAAAACCACCUAUUUUGAAGAUUUGUGUUCUUGAUUGUUUAUUUUGACUUCUUUUACCUGCAAAGGUUUCUGACUUUUGUGUUGGCCUGCUGUGUGAGUUUAAUCCAUGGCGGGCUUGGAGAAGCAAUUAUUGUCACAGCCUAUCCAUUUAGCUGACCGAGUAAUCAAAGCUGCUGAUGAAGCCUCCACUUUCAAACAAGAAUGCGCUGAACUCAAAUUCAAGACGGAAAAGCUCGCCUCUUUACUCCGGCGAGCCGCUCGAACCAGCUCCGUCCUGUACGAGCGGCCUGCUCGCCGGAUAAUUUACGAAACAGAGCAAACCCUUGACAAGGCUCUGGCCCUGGUCCAAAAAUGCCUAGCUAAUGACGUCAUGAAACGCGUUUUCACCAUAAUUCCGACAACCGCGUUUCGUAAAAUGUUGUCUCACUUGGAAAAUUCGAUCGGUGACGUGUCUUGGCUUUUGCGUGUAUCGGCGUCGGCUGAUGAUCUUGACGACGAGUAUUUGGGAUUGCCUCCGAUUGCUGCUAACGAGCCAAUUCUUUGUCUUAUAUGGGAACAGAUUGCGAUUCUCUAUACUGGCUCAGUGGAUGAUAGAUCUGAUGCUGCUGCUUCGCUGGUUUCGCUGGCGAGAGACAACGAUCGGUACGGGAAGCUGAUUAUUGAAGAAGGAGGGAUUCCGCCUCUGCUGAAAUUGGUCAAAGAAGGGAACAUGGAAGGCCAAGAGAACGCCGCAAGAGCGAUUGGUCUACUGGGUCGUGACCAGGAAAGCGUCGAAUACAUAAUCCACGCAGGUGUUUGUACUGUGUUUGCGAAAAUGCUUAAACAAGGUCCUAUGAAAGUUCAGGCUGUAGUGGCUUGGGCUGUUUCUGAGCUAGCGGCGAAUUAUCCCAAAUGCCAAGAUCUUUUUGACCAUCAUAAUAUAAUUCGGUUGCUAGUUGGCCAUCUUGUAUUUGAGACAGCUGAAGACGAGCAUGUUCAGAUUACCAUUCCUAUCAAUAAAGCCACAUCAGUCCUUGCAGUUGUAAUGGCAAGAAAUCACUUGAACGCGAGCAAAGCAAUGGAUAAAUAUGAUAAUGAUGAUCAGCAAAAGCGUAACCAACCUUCUGAUACAAGUUCUAAAGAUAGGGAAUUUGAAGAUCCUGAGACCAAGGCUACAAUGAAAGCAAUGGCAGCUAAAGCACUAUCCCAGCUUGCCAAGGGUAACUCCUCUAUAUGCCGUAGCAUCACCCAGUCGAGAGCAUUGAUGUGUUUUGUAGUUCUCUUGGAGAAAGGUACAGAAGAUGUUAAAUACCAUUCAGCCAUGGCUUUGAUGGAGAUCACAGCAGUGGCAGAGCAAGAUACUGAUUUGAGAAGAUCCACAUUCAAACACAAUUCGCCUGCGUGCAAAGCUAUUAUUGAUCAGUUGCUGAAAAUCAUCGAAAGAGCUGAUCAUAACCUCCUUAUACCAUGCAUCGAGACUAUAGGGAACCUGGCCAGGACAUUUCGAGCAACAGAGAGCAGAAUGAUUGCCCCAUUGGUUAAACUUCUAGAUGAGGGAGAAGAUGAGGUGUAUAGGGAAGCUUCAAUUGCUCUCACAAAGUUUGCCUGCACAGAAAACUAUCUCCACCUUGAUCAUUCCAAGGCAAUCAUACAAGCUGGAGGGGAAAAGCACCUAAUCCAGCUUGUCUAUUUUGGCGAGCUUAUAGUUCAACUGUCAGCAUUAUAUCUCCUAUGCUACAUAGCUAUGCAUGUCCCAGACAGCGAGGAGCUCGCACA